rnacentral:lncRNA from 1 species
GGCUGUUAAAAAUUUAUGUAUUUUCAUUGAUAACUGAAAAUUAUGCAGAAGAAAGAAUUUUAAUCUGUAAAUCUACUAAAUGGAGAAUGGAGUGAAGUGGAUGAGUGAACACUUUGACAAUGCAAGGAUGAAUGCUGCAUUCAGCGAAGAGGGCAAAACACUGGUCCCAACUUCUCUGUCUCCAUGUCAGCUCCUAAGAAUCAAAUUCCUUGGAGACCUAGUCAUGGACUUCCCUGGGCCUUUCCUACUGGUGGAUUACAGACACAUAGUCACCAAUGUUAGAUAAUACCAUUAUCAUGGUUACAGCUAAACAAGCACGCUGACCAUGAAGACAACUUUGGAUUGCAUGCAUAAUGUCAUGAAUUUUUAAGUCUUGUUCUCAAAUUUAUAGCAGCAUAAAAUUUGAACCACAGAAGAUGUUUAAAGUUUUAUUCCCAUAUUAUUGUAUUUGUUUCAAAGCUGGCCAUCUGGGAUUCUGCUCCUGCCUAGAAAUAACCUCCAUUUACCAAAUUCCAAGAUGAGACAUUU